CGUGAGAUGUUGGGUUAAGUCCCGCAACGAGCGCAACCCUCGCCCCGUGUUGCCAGCGGAUUAUGCCGGGAACUCACGGGGGACCGCCGGGGUUAACUCGGAGGAAGGUGGGGAUGACGUCAGAUCAUCAUGCCCCUUACGUCCAGGGCUUCACGCAUGCUACAAUGGCCGGUACAACGGGAUGCGACGCGGCGACGCGGAGCGGAUCCCUGAAACCGGUCUCAGUUCGGAUCGCAGUCUGCAACUCGACUGCG
rnacentral:rRNA from 1 species